AGAGGGAAGGUGAUAGUUUUCCAUAAAUUUCCAUGAUUUCCUCUUAAUACUUUGUUCUCUCUGAUGAACACCUUUGUCUCAGCUUGCUCUGUCCUUCAUAGGACUUUUUUUUUUUUUCCAUUUGCUAAACAUAUGGCUGAGACUUAGUAGAGGAGAGCACAAAGGACAAUUUGUUCUAGAAGCCUGCAUCUCAGCAAGCACAGUAUUUAUAAGAAUCUCAUCAAAUAUACUUGAGUUGUCUAACGCAGGAUCUUUCCUAGGUGUAAGCACCAAAACGAGUAGGGGAAAGCUUAGGAUGUAACCUGCCUUCAGAGAGGGACAGAGCAGAAAGGACUGCGAGAGUGGGGGAGGAGGAAUAGCUUUACAUCGCUUCUCUUCGAAACCUUGCAGCUACAGUGGCUCUUGCAAAACACUUGUUGAUUUAAAGAGCGCAAGCAGAGCUACUGACAGAGCCCAUUACCUUCGCUGUCAGGUUGGACUCACCAGACAAUGGUAGGGAAGGCAGUUCCAGGAGACCACCGGAGUCUGCAAAUCUGAGGAGCUGCACAGGGAAGUAGGACAGAUGUCCAAAACUGAUGAGGGAAAUCUUCAACAGAUCUGGUCGUUUUGCACUCUCGGGCUCAGCCUUCAAGAAUGACUGCUCCCCAUUCCUGAUGCCUCUGAGUACAUCCCAAAGAGAGCAGCACAAAGGGAGCUUGUAAAUGUGUACAUCUGCACUUGGUGAUGGUGGGAUGGCCUUUAAUUAUGUCCUUCCUCAGCAUUGCUCUUCAAUAUGGAAAUCUUGUGAAGGUACAAAAAUUUGUGUAUUCAAGUGCAGAAUAUCAAGGGAAGAAGACAGUGUUGCACAAUUCUAAACAAAAGUGAACCACUGUUUCACUUUGCAUCAGAGAAUGAAUCACAACUGUGAGACAGAAUUAAUCCUCAAUCUCUUUUUUGCCUGGCUGUGUAUGGGCAGGGUGGAAGAGCUUCCUGAAGACUAAGUAAUUUCUCUGCCAAAUACAACUGAUGGGGAGAGAUAUUCAGAAACGUUGUCCUCUCCAGCUGCUGCAGUGUUGUCUUCUGAAGAUGAUGUCAAAAGUACUCCAGCGGAAACAGUGGCAUUAAGGUGGAUUGGAUCUUUGGUUACCAUCACAUCAAAGCUCCAAUUGAGCAUGUAAGAACGAAAUCCCUCCAUCCUCAUCUCUAAUGGGACUAAAUUCAAAUAGAUUUCUGAUGGCCAUCCCUCCCAUUUCUGAGUUCUCUCAGUAGAAGAAGAAAAUAUUGCAAGUUUUCAGCU